UUGAGUUCCACAUAAUUUAAUGAAUAAAGUGAAACUUAGCAAAGACAAAAACAAAUAAACAAUAAACUAACAACAAACCGUGACUACAGAGAUGCUACGGGCACUAACUCAAAACAAUAUCCCAUAAAACACAGGUGGAAAAAAUGCUACUUAAAUAUGAUCCCCAAUUAGAGACAAUGAUAACCAGCUGCCUCUAAUUGGGAACCAUAUAAAGCACACCAACCUAGAAAUAUGAAAAGUAGAAUACCCACAUAGAAAUAAUAAACUAGAAUACAACAUAUACAUACACUAAAUCACCCCCUAGUCAUGCCCUGACCUACUAUACCAUAAAGAAACAAUGGUUCUCUAUGGUCAGGGCGUGACAGUACACCCCCCCCAAAGGUGCGGACUCCGAACUCAAAACCUGAAACCAAAUGGGGAGGGUAGAGGGGGUUAUUAGUGUCGGUGGCGGCUCUGGUGCGGGACGAAGAACCCGCUCAGCUCGUGGAUCCGCCAGCUUUGGUGGCGGCUGUGGUGCAGGCCGAAGAACCCGCUCAUCUCGUGGAUCAAGCCAUGGAGCCGGGCUGUACACUGUGCCUGGACUGGACCUCGGUGUCAAGGAAGGCUCCUGCCAUGGAGCGGGACUGCACGCCGUAUCUAGACUGAGCACCGGCGCAGGAGAAUGCUCCGGCCUUGAAGCUGGACUGGACGCCGUGCCUGGACUGGGCAUCGGCACAGGGGAAGGCUCCCGCCAUGGAACGAACGGGCUGGACGCUGUGCCUGGGCACCAACGCAGAAGAAGACUCUGGCCUUGGAGCUGGACUGGACGCCGUGCUUAGACUGGGCAUCAGCGCACGUGAAGGCUCCGGUCAUGGAGCUGGAAGUUCCGGACCGUUGACCGUCGCAGGAGGUUCCGGACCGGGGACCGUCUCAGGAGGUCACACAUUACAGGGAGAGUGCGAGGAUCAGGCACAGGACGUUCCGGACUGGGGACACGCACUUCAGGGAAAGUGCGAGGAGGAGACACAUGAUGUACCGGACUGGAGAGGCGCACUUGAGGCCAGAAGCGUGGAACCGGCACAGGUUGCACCAGACUGCUAACCGGAUUCACUGGUCGGAUGUUGAGCAGAACACACUUGCACAUCUCUCUCAUCUCACUCUCUCCCAACUUAGCCUUUGCCUCCCUGACAGUCUCUGGCUCUUCCCUCUGCUCAUUCGCCAGCUCCAUAUGCCCACACCCCCCCAAAAAAACUUGGGGUUAUCCUUGGGCUUUCUGUAGCCGCGAAGCCUGUCGUCGUCGCUGUCCUCCAUUAUCUCCUUCCGAUGUCCAGACAUCCAUCACCUGGUGAACACGCUGCUUGGUCCUGGUUUGAUGGGAUAUUCUGUCACGUUCGUUAGAAUAAAUAUCGGACCAAGGAGCAGCGGAUGUUGAGUUCCACAUAAUUUAAUGAAUGAAGUGAAACUUAGCAAAGACAUAAACAAAUAAACAAUAAACUAACAACGAACCGUGACUACAAAUAUGCUACAUGCACUAACUCAAAAC
ensembl:lncRNA